rnacentral:tRNA from 1 species
CAGCGCCGCCAGCGCGGCGGCCUGCAGCGCGGCCGCGCUCACCACGCGGCCCUCGGGGCCCGGCAGCGCCCGCGUCGCUGUGGCGCUGGCC